rnacentral:rRNA from 1 species
GAUGAACGCUGGCGGCGUGCCUAAUACAUGCAAGUCGAGCGAACAGAUGAGGAGCUUGCUCCUCUGACGUUAGCGGCGGACGGGUGAGUAACACGUGGAUAACCUACCUAUAAGACUGGGAUAACUUCGGGAAACCGGAGCUAAUACCGGAUAAUAUAUUGAACCGCAUGGUUCAAUAGUGAAAGACGGUUUUGCUGUCACUUAUAGAUGGAUCCGCGCCGCAUUAGCUAGUUGGUAAGGUAACGGCUUACCAAGGCAACGAUGCGUAGCCGACCUGAGAGGGUGAUCGGCCACACGGGAACUGAGACACGGUCCAGACUCCUACGGGAGGCAGCAGUAGGGAAUCUUCCGCAAUGGGCGAAAGCCUGACGGAGCAACGCCGCGUGAGUGAUGAAGGUCUUCGGAUCGUAAAACUCUGUUAAUAGGGAAGAACAAAUGUGUAAGUAACUAUGCACGUCUUGACGGUACCUAAUCAGAAAGCCACGGCUAACUACGUG